AAGAGAUAAAUUGAGCCUCGGCUUCAUUAACAGUCUCUUUUCUUGUUGCGGUGAUGCAGGUUGGACGUGUUGCUGCGUAGGGAGACACAAAAUAACACGCAUGGUACUUCGUUGACGGAUUUGUAAGAGCCUGGACUGGAUUUAUCUUGAUAAGGUAAUGGGAACACUGCGUGAACCGACUCCACUGCUGGAUCACACUAGUUUUUUUUUGUUUUUUUUGAAGUUGGGUGUUAUUUAUACUGUAUUCAGUUUGAAACCCAUUAGAUUUAUUAGCUGCCUGGAAAUAUGGAGUGUCUUUUUUUUUUUAUUUUAUUUUUUUAUUAAAUCUAUGCACAUGUAUAGGGGCCAUUUCUUUUUCUUAAAAUCUUGUGACACUGUAAGAACUAAAAUCCACACUUGUAAAUAAAGUGAAUGUUUUGUUUUAAACUGUAUUGUUGAAUUUAUUUGCAGAUAAGACGGGAGUACAGAAUAUGCAUGGGAAUUAUAGUAGGCUAUUGAAUAAGAGAAAUGAGGCACAGUGAGACCAUAUUUAAAUUCAUGAUGUGAAAAAUGUCACACACUUGUAAAAGUUGAUUUCAGCAGGAAGCCUUAUUUGACCUGAGGGACCUCUAGGUGCUACAGUAGACAGGCUGUAGGUGUCUAUACAUAUGCCUGAUUAGUAUCUAAACAAUAGGUAGUCAGCUCUAAAUAUUACAAAUGGCUGCCGUAAUUUAAAUGAAAAGCAGUUUGGAAUAUGAUAUGCUACUUUUUUUGUGUGAAGUGUAAAAUCAGUCUGGUACCUGAAAAUUCAAACAAUACGAUGAAGUGUGUGUGUAUAUAUAUAGUAAGUUAUACCGUAGUGCUUUAAAAAUCAGUGCAAAAAUUAAAACUAAAGCUGCAAUCUACAUUUUGCAACAAACUGUAACAUGCAAAAAUAUACAGAGUACAGAAGACAAUGAUUCCCAAGGGAAAUUUUCUUUCACAUUACACACAGGCCUGAAAUACAUAACGGGACCUACACAUUGAUGUCAGAGUGAGGGGGCUGUCCCUGGGCAGUUGGGGCUUAAGGGCAUCUCAGCAGUGCCCAGGAGGUGAACUGGCACCUCUCCAGCUACCAGUCCACACUCUGUACAGGGAUUUGAACCAGCCACCCUCCGGUUCCCAAGCCAAGUCCUAAUGGACCCUGAUGGGGCGAAGAGUCUACCAUAAGAUCUAAUUUUGGUUUUAA